UACGGGAGGCAGCAGUGGGGAAUAUUGCACAAUGGGCGCAAGCCUGAUGCAGCCAUGCCGCGUGUAUGAAGAAGGCCUUCGGGUUGUAAAGUACUUUCAGUCGUGAGGAAGGUGUUAAGGUUAAUAACCUUAGCAAUUGACGUUAGCGACAGAAGAAGCACCGGCUAACUCCGUGCCAGCAGCCGCGGUAAUACGGAGGGUGCGAGCGUUAAUCGGAAUUACUGGGCGUAAAGGGCACGCAGGCGGUUAAUUAAGUUGGAUGUGAAAUUCCCGGGCUUAACCUGGGAAUGGCAUUCAAGACUGGUUAGCUAGAGUCUUGUAGAGGGGGUAGAAUUCCAUGUGUAGCGGUGAAAUGCGUAGAGAUGUGGAGGAAUACCGGUGGCGAAGGCGGCCCCUGGACAAAGACUGACGCUCAUGUGCGAAAGCGUGGGGAGCAAACAGGGAUUAGAUACC
rnacentral:rRNA from 1 species